rnacentral:rRNA from 1 species
GGCGCACGGGUGCGUAACACGUAUGCAACCUACCUUUAACUGGGGUAUAGCUCAGAGAAAUCUGAAUUAAUCCCCCAUAACACUACGACAUGGCAUCAUGAUGUAGUUAAAGCUCCGGCGGUUAAGGAUGGGCAUGCGGUACAUUAGCUAGUUGGUGAGGUAAUGGCUCACCAAGGCUACGAUGUAUAGGGGGUCUGAGAGGAUGAUCCCCCACACUGGUACUGAGACACGGACCAGACUCCUACGGGAGGCAGCAGUAGGGAAUAUUGGUCAAUGGACGAAAGUCUGAACCAGCCAUGCCGCGUGAAGGAUGAAGGCCCUCUGGGUCGUAAACUUCUUUUAUUAGGGAAGAAACCUCAGGAUGCGUCCUGAGCUGACGGUACUUAAUGAAUAAGGAUCGGCUAACUUCGUGCCAGCAGCCGCGGUAAGACGAAGGAUCCAAGCGUUGUCCGGAUUUACUGGGUUUAAAGGGUGCGUAGGCGGAAAAUUAAGUCAGUGGUGAAAGCCCGCAGCUCAACUGUGGAACUGCCAUUGAAACUGGUUUUCUUGAAUAUAGCUGAGGCAGAUGGAAUAUAACAUGUAGCGGUGAAAUGCUUAGAUAUGUUAUAGAACACCGAUUGCGAAGGCAGUCUGCUAAACUAUUAUUGACGCUGAGGCACGAAAGCGUGGGGAGCGAACAGGAUUAGAUACCCUGGUAGUCCACGCCCUAAACGUUGAUUACUCGCUGUUGGCGAUAUACUGUCAGUGGCUAAGCGAAAGCAUUAAGUAAUCCACCUGGGAA